AAGUUCGUAUUAGAUGGUGUUUCUCACAUCUACCAUAUAGUGUCUGUUAUUCUGCAAGUACUCUGUACACAUAAAUAUCAGCAGACACAACCAUCCUCUUGAUAUGAAUUGCUCUGAUGAGCAUCUUAUGUGGCGGAUAAGACUCAGUACAGUAGUACAUUUCUACUACAUUAUUGGUAUGGUAUAUAAGUUCAGUUGAAUGCUCCUUUCUAGGCCUUGACGACAACAAUCAAAUACCUGCAAAAUAGUUUUUCCAUAUGUGCAUUUCAAUGAUUAAUAUAUUCAGGCGCUCUCGCAAACCUGCUGUUCCCUUCCAGUAUUCCAUGUAGAAAGAAGAUUGUACAGCUUUGUUGUAAAUCUUAACAAUUAAAGCCAUUUGUUAUAUAAAUGUAGAGAGCAUAUUUAUUACCGCAACAGGAAAACUAUACUGCUAACCUCUUGGUUUUAGCUGCAUAAGGUGUGAACUCAUUUUAGUCCUCAAAAUACAUGCUCUUAUAAAGAAAACAAUCAGUUUAUAGCCUACCAAUUUCUGACGCUGUUUGAUUUCUUAGCUGAGACUCGUGUACGAAGUCGGUGCCCUACUGACAAAGGUGGUACAACUCUCACCAGAUGGCCUCAGAGACGAGAGCACAAUAACAUACUGGAAGAUAUGACACUAGAAGCACACAAAUAAGCUAACCUGGUGCAAGCUGUGAUUCCAUGACCCAUCCCCGCUGUGACCCUGUUCCUGGAAUUGGCAAGGUGUUUUUGAAGUAUGCAGAUGCCAAGAGCUCGGCCAGGGCAACAAUGGAUGCACAUGAGGAGAUUCGACAGGAAAAAGACGGUUGCCGUGUUCGCCGAUGGAGACUACGACGAAUAGAUUAAAACAAAUCUUGCAUAUUUGUUCUUUUUAGACUUUGAAUACAUUUAGCAGUAAGUUUUCAUGAAAUGUACUUAAAUCUCAUGUUAUUCUAAUAGUGGUGCAUACAGGAUUGCAUUCCGAAGUUAUCAGAAUACAAAUCUUUAAAACCGAACCGCAGUGAGUUUAUGUAGAUUUUUUUUUUU